AGCUAUUAAGGCUACCACUGCCAGGACCAUCACCAACAUCACCACCAUGAUCACUGUCACUAUCAGUAUUAGGUCUUCUUCUACCAGCGAGAAAGAAAAUCAACUUGACACAAUAAUCCUGAUGAUAACAUUGAUAAUCUCCUGCCAGAUAUGAAGGUGACUUCUGCAUGGAGGAAGACAUUCUAGCACCUUAUCUGGGAAACCAAAGCACAC